AACGAACGCUGGCGGCAGGCCUAACACAUGCAAGUCGAGCGAACCCUUCGGGGUUAGCGGCGGACGGGUUAGUAACGCGUGGGAAUAUACCCUUUGGUACGGAAUAGCCUCGGGAAACUGAGAGUAAUACCGUAUGUGCCCUUGGGGGAAAGAUUUAUCGCCAAAGGAUUAGCCCGCGUUGGAUUAGAUAGUUGGUGGGGUAAUGGCCUACCAAGUCUACGAUCCAUAGCUGGUUUGAGAGGAUGAUCAGCAACACUGGGACUGAGACACGGCCCAGACUCCUACGGGAGGCAGCAGUGGGGAAUCUUAGACAAUGGGCGCAAGCCUGAUCUAGCCAUGCCGCGUGGACGAUGAAGGCCUUAGGGUUGUAAAGUCCUUUCAGAUGGGAAGAUAAUGACGGUACCAUCAGAAGAAGCCCCGGCUAACUCCGUGCCAGCAGCCGGCGGUAAUGUGACUACUG
rnacentral:rRNA from 1 species